rnacentral:lncRNA from 1 species
CAGCCCUGAACUCGCUGAAGUAGAACUUCAUCUCUGCCGUGUCAUACAUUGCCCUGUAGGUGCUUGGAACAAAGCCCUGCCUUGUUUCUUCAAAUGGAGACAGGCCACAAAGCGUCUUGCUUCCAGUUGUUUGGGAAGCUAAGAAGCAAAUCACUCUCCUCAGUGCUCUUACAGCCGACCGGGAACAUCUCUUACAAAGGCCUGUGAAACGCAGUUUCUUCCCAGCCCUGAUCUCGCUCAAGUAGAACUUCUGCUCUGCUGUGCAAUACAUUGCCCUAGAGAUGGAAGUCACAAUGGCCUGCCUGGCUUCCUUAAGAGGAGACAGGCCACAGACUGUCUCACUUGCAGCUCUAUGGCAGGGUGAGAAAGAACUCACUUUCCC